GACGAACGCUGGCGGCGUGCUUAACACAUGCAAGUCGAACGGAAAGGCCCUGCUUUUGUGGGGUGCUCGAGUGGCGAACGGGUGAGUAACACGUGAGUAACCUGCCCUUGACUUUGGGAUAACUUCAGGAAACUGGGGCUAAUACCGGAUAGGAUCUCCUGCUGCAUGGUGGGGGUUGGAAAGUUUCGGCGGUUGGGGAUGGACUCGCGGCUUAUCAGCUUGUUGGUGGGGUAGUGGCUUACCAAGGCUUUGACGGGUAGGCGGCAUGAGAGGGUGACCGGCGACAUUGGGACUGAGAUACGGCGCAGACUGCUACGGGAGGCAGCGGUGGGGAGUAUUACACAGUGGGCGGAAGCCUGAGGCAGCAGCGCCGCGUGCGGGAUGACGGCCUUCUGGGUGUGAACCGCUUUCGCCUGAGACGAAGCGGGAGUGACGGUAAUGGGUAAAGAAGCACCGGCUAACUACGUG
rnacentral:rRNA from 1 species